GGGACCUCCAACAUAUGCCUCCCUAACUGAGGACCCCCUAACAGAGCAGGUUUUCCCAUUGAUGUGUUCCAGACAGGUCUCAAGGAGAAGCAUAUCUUGUUUACUGGUUUGAUUUAGUGGUCUACAAAGCCUCCUGCCACUGCCACCUCCUGAGCUCUCUGAGUCAGCUCAGUGAUCGAAGAGGCACUCAAAGUCCUGGGGCUCACUCUAAGCCCUCAGUAACUAGAAAACUAGAUAAUAACAUUUUUAAUGUUUAGUGCCAUAUCUCACCUCUUUUACACUAUCUGCUGUUCCUGAACAGGAUGAGAUGGCUCCAGGAAACAACACCACAAAGUUAUCAGCGUGAAGUGGAUGAUGAUGUGGUGUCAUUCCCAGAAAGUCUUCUGCUGUUGCUAUCUCGUGAUGCAUCUUGACAGUGUGAUGGCAUCCCGCAGCUCUCUGUGCAUCUUCAGAUCUGGACAGGCCUUGACAAGUCUGAUCCUUGGAAUGGAUUCACUACAGAUGCCUGGGAGAUGAGAGAAGUGCUAACUGGCAUGAGCCUGGCAAGACAUUCCUAUACAGAGCGUUGGACAGGCCAUCCUCUUCUGUGAAUGCAGAUCCUGAAAGAUGGUGUGUCCUUGCAGUCAGUCACAGAGUAGAGAUGCUCUGUAAGCCUGUGCUCUGUGAAUUCACUGGCGUCAUUUGGACUACGUUGAUGUGCACCAGUGGAGGACCUGACUCACCCUCUGGUGGCUGCUGUGUGAGCGAUCCGACAACCCUUCCUCUCUGUGCCCCAGGAGGGAGUUUUGCAGCAGAUGUGGGGGACGUCGCGUUGGCGUUGGCACUGAGGUCAUUCUGCAUGCUCGAUGUACUCCCAUUGCAAAAGGGAAACACUAUAAAGGCCAAACAACAAAUUAGUGGAAAUUUCAGUUAG
rnacentral:lncRNA from 1 species